CUUGCCGCGUGAAGCGUGAUAUUUGUUCUCCUUUUCCUGACGUUCUCCCGAGGAAUCGGCGGAUUCGACCACCGUAAUUAGAUUCCCUUCCGUCGGAGCUCCCGAUCGAGGUACCUUUUGCUUGUAUCGAUUGAAAUCGCAGUUUCGAAUGCGGUAUUUGUCCUGCCAGAACGUAUUCAAAGGAUGCUUUCCCCAAUCGGCGUUCGAUUUGAGCGAUUGUAGAGCGUCUGUAGGGGAUUGCCACUUUGAUACCUCAAUCCGAGUGGAGCUGAGGAGGGACUCUAGUUUGGGUGCACGAUGAGAAUUAAGGAGUCGGAAGAUGGAGGAUCCGAGGAUUCUGGCUGCAGGAGGUCGGAUUCUUUUCUGUCCCUCACUUGUAUGCAAUGUCGUCGGAACAGGACGCAAGCUGAGUUCCGAUUGUGGGAUGAGAUCGUCAGGUUUGCUCUUUGAGUUUUCAGUUUACACUCUUGGGUGCUGUACCAUCUCCAAAUAUGUCCCUCGUUUGCACCAGCUUGGAAUUCGAGAAGUCAUUAGUUCGAAUGAACCAUAAGAAACUUCGGCUCCAUCAGACAUACGGAUCUAGGAGGGCAGCAUCACCUUUUAGAAGCAAAGACUGUGUUUGUGGCCAGCUUAUUGAAGUU